rnacentral:rRNA from 2 species
GAUGAACGCUGGCGGCGUGCUAAUACAUGCAAGUCGAACGAGUUCUGAUUAUUGAAAGGUGCUUGCAUCUUGAUUUAAUUUUGAACGAGUGGCGGACGGGUGAGUAACACGUGGGUAACCUGCCCUUAAGUGGGGGAUAACAUUUGGAAACAGAUGCUAAUACCGCAUAAAUCCAAGAACCGCAUGGUUCUUGGCUGAAAGAUGGCGUAAGCUAUCGCUUUUGGAUGGACCCGCGGCGUAUUAGCUAGUUGGUGAGGUAACGGCUCACCAAGGCAAUGAUACGUAGCCGAACUGAGAGGUUGAUCGGCCACAUUGGGACUGAGACACGGCCCAAACUCCUACGGGAGGCAGCAGUAGGGAAUCUUCCACAAUGGACGCAAGUCUGAUGGAGCAACGCCGCGUGAGUGAAGAAGGCUUUCGGGUCGUAAACACUC